UGCGGAGGGAUCAUUACACAAAUGAAAAUAUGAAGGCCCUUCAAACCGGCUGGAUUAUUUUUCUUCACCCUUGUCUUUUGCGCACUUGUUGUUUCCUGGGCGGGUUCGCUCGCCACCAGGACCACACCAUAAACCUUUUUGUUAAUGCAAUCAGCGUCAGUAAAAAGUAAUAAUUAUUUUACAACUUUCAACAACGGAUCUCUUGGUUCUGGCAUCGAUGAAGAACGCAGCGAAAUGCGAUACGUAGUGUGAAUUGCAGAAUUCAGUGAAUCAUCGAAUCUUUGAACGCACAUUGCGCCCUUUGGUAUUCCAAAGGGCAUGCCUGUUCGAGCGUCAUUUGUACCCUCAAGCUUUGCUUGGUGUUGGGCGUUGUUUGUCUUUGGCCUUGCCCAAAGACUCGCCUUAAAACAAUUGGCAGCCGGCCUACUGGUUUCGCAGCGCAGCACAUUUUUGCGCUUGCAAUCAGCAAAAGAGGUUGGCCAUCCAUCAAGACUACAUUUAUACGUUUGACCUCGGAUCAGGUAGGGAUACCCGCUGAACUUAAGCAUAU
rnacentral:rRNA from 1 species